UACGUAGGGUGCGAGCGUUAAUCGGAAUUACUGGGCGUAAAGCGUGCGCAGGCGGUUUGGUAAGACAGAUGUGAAAUCCCCGGGCUCAACCUGGGAACUGCAUUUGUGACUGCAUGGCUAGAGUGCGGCAGAGGGGGAUGGAAUUCCGCGUGUAGCAGUGAAAUGCGUAGAUAUGCGGAGGAACACCGAUGGCGAAGGCAAUCCCCUGGGCCUGCACUGACGCUCAUGCACGAAAGCGUGGGGAGCAAACAGG
rnacentral:rRNA from 1 species